GAUGAACGCUGGCGGCGUGCCUAAUACAUGCAAGUCGAGCGAACAGACGAGGAGCUUGCUCCUCUGACGUUAGCGGCGGACGGGUGAGUAACACGUGGAUAACCUACCUAUAAGACUGGGAUAACUUCGGGAAACCGGAGCUAAUACCGGAUAAUAUAUUGAACCGCAUGGUACAAUAGUGAAAGACGGUUUUGCUGUCACUUAUAGAUGGAUCCGCGCCGCAUUAGCUAGUUGGUAAGGUAACGGCUUACCAAGGCGACGAUGCGUAGCCGACCUGAGAGGGUGAUCGGCCACACUGGAACUGAGACACGGUCCAGACUCCUACGGGAGGCAGCAGUAGGGAAUCUUCCGCAAUGGGCGAAAGCCUGACGGAGCAACGCCGCGUGAGUGAUGAAGGUCUUCGGAUCGUAAAACUCUGUUAUUAGGGAAGAACAAAUGUGUAAGUAACUAUGCACGUCUUGAUGGUACCUAAUCAGAAAGCCACGGCUAACUACGUG
rnacentral:rRNA from 1 species